rnacentral:rRNA from 1 species
GGAGGAAUAUUGCGCAAUGGGGGAAACCCUGACGCAGCAACGCCGCGUGAAGGAAGAAGGUCUUCGGAUUGUAAACUUUUGUCGCAAGGGAAGAAACAAAUGACGGUACCUUGUGAGAAAGCCACGGCUAACUACGUGCCAGCAGCCGCGGUAAUACGUAGGUGGCGAGCGUUGUCCGGAUUUACUGGGUGUAAAGGGCGCGUAGGCGGACUGUCAAGUCAGUCGUGAAAUGUCGGGGCUUAACCCCGGAACUGCGAUUGAAACUGGCAGCCUUGAGUGCCGGAGAGGAAAGCGGAAUUCCUAGUGUAGCGGUGAAAUGCGUAGAUAUUAGGAGGAACAC